AUUGAACGCUGGCGGCAUGCUUUACACAUGCAAGUCGAACGGUAACAGGCCUUCGGGUGCUGACGAGUGGCGCACGGGUGAGUAAUGCAUCGGAACGUACCCAGAGGGGGGGGAUAACGCAGCGAAAGCUGUGCUAAUACCGCAUGUGAUCUGAGGAUGAAAGCGGGGGACCGAGCAGCAAUGUUUGGCCUCGCGCCUUUGGAGCGGCCGAUGUCGGAUUAGCUAGUUGGUGGGGUAAAGGCCUACCAAGGCGACGAUCCGUAGCUGGUCUGAGAGGACGAGAGGCCACAUUGGGACGGAGACACGGCCCAGACUCCUACGGGAGGCAGCAGUGGGGAAUUUUGAACAAUGGGCGCAAGCCUGACCCAGCAACGCCGGGUGAGGGAAGAAGGCCUUCGGGUUGUAAACCGCUUUUGGGGGAAAAGAAGGGGUGUCGGAGAAACCGGGCGGUUAGUGACGGUAAUUAAAGAAAAAGCCCCGGCUAACUACGUG
rnacentral:rRNA from 1 species